GCGCGAAAACUUUACAAUGCUGGCAACCGCGAUAAGGGAACCUCGCGUGCCAGGUUACAACUCUGGCUGUCGAGAUGCCUAAAAAGCAUUUCAUAGAAAGGGCCGGGCAAGACCGGUGCCAGCCGCCGCGGUAACACCGGCGGCUCGAGUGGUAACCGUUAUUAUUGGGUCUAAAGGGUCUGUAGCCGGCCGGAUCAGUCUCUUGAGAAAUCUGGCAGCUUAACUGUCAGGCUUUCAGGAGAUACUGUCUGGCUCGAGGCCGGGAGAGGUGAGAGGUACUUCAGGGGUAGGGGUGAAAUCU
rnacentral:rRNA from 1 species